rnacentral:rRNA from 1 species
UACGUAGGGUGCGAGCGUUAAUCGGAAUUACUGGGCGUAAAGCGUGCGCAGGCGGUCGUGCAAGACAGGUGUGAAAUCCCCGGGCUUAACCUGGGAACUGCACUUGUGACUGCACGGCUGGAGUACGGCAGAGGGGGAUGGAAUUCCGCGUGUAGCAGUGAAAUGCGUAGAUAUCGCUUGGAACGCCAACGGUGAAAACAGCUCGCUGGGGGUGUGCUGACGCUGAGACACGAAAGCCAGGGGAGCGAACGGG